CGCUCGACGCACAAAAUAGACGAGUAUAUUGUCGAAUUAUCCGAUAAAAAUCACUGCACGAGCGACGCUGCGCUCAGAACAACCUAGGCUUGGAAGGGUGUACUGCGAAAUGCCGAUGUACCAGAGACCUCCCUUCUGGCGGGUGCCCCAUCAGCGACCGGAUCCCGAUGACUGCAGGGAUUUUGGACAACGGAGACGGGUUCCCGUAAAUCGAACUAGGUCGAUCGAGGCAGGGUUGCAGCGGGCGGGGCGCGCUAAUUUUGCCACAACACCGCGCUUAGCCGUCGAGAGCGCACCGCGUGCAAUCGUGCAAGCCAUGGGGCGGCUGCAUACGUUCGUGGUGACCUUACGGAGGGAGCACAGGGACACCAACUGGGGCCUCCGGCUGGUCGGCGGCGCGGACCUGGCGACGCCGCUCAUUGUCACAAGGGUGACCCCAGGCACGCCGGCCGGCAAGGAUCUCCUGCGCGGAGACAUCAUCGCGAAGAUCGAUGACUACGACGCCCGCGACCUCCGUCACGAGGAUGCGCAGAACCUGUUCAAGAAUGCGCAGAACCACAUCAAACUUGUAGUGCAGAGGGGUGGCUCCAGUUCGCAUCUUUACUCACUACCACCGCGGGCUACGGGCGGCUAUGUAGGCAGAGUCCCUACGCCCACCUUCUAUCACGAGUUCGCUGAGGACGUGGACCGCGAUCAGCCACGCAGCUCGUCCUCUCUAGCGCCGCGGUCGCCCGUCUUCACUGCUAACUCGCCAUACAGAACUCCAAGCCCGAUGCCACCGACGGCGUUCCGACAGGAGUCGCUUCCCCGCACCCCUGUACCUCAGCAGGGCUAUGGAGCCCAAGGCUAUGGCCAGCAGACCUACCCGCCGCAGAUCGAGGGCGAGUACCGCACGGUGAUGCUGUCCCCUACAUACUCGUCACGGACAGACGAUACGCUGGAUGAAUCGUUGAACAACCAGCCCUACCGCACGACACCCCUCGUCCUGCCCGGCGCCAAGGUCCGCCGGGAGCCCGGCCCCACGGAGUCCUACCUGCGCCACCACCCCAACCCCUCCAUGCGGGCGCCGCCGAGCCACGAUUACCGCGACACGCUUAUGAGGCAAAAGGUGGCUGAAUCGGUGGUGCAGCGAGUGAUCGGUGACGAGGGCAAUAAGGUUGUUCACAAGCAAUUCAACUCCCCGAUCAAUCUAUAUUCAGACCAAAACAUCGCCCACUCCAUUAGGCAACAGUCCUCGCCCUUGCCCGCUAACGGCCAUUACGGACGGCCACACAUGGUCAAGAGGCAAGUGUUUUACUAGACACGGCUCGACGCCAUCUCUCAUGACGCAUUAAUGCUUAUUUUAUUUUUAUUUUGCUAUCUUUCGUCUUGCGAAACUCGUUUUUCGAUCUCCGUUCUGGCGACGACCGCCUGUCGCCACCGCCGGUCCUAGCGACCUUUCAUCCACACGUUCACGCGACAAACAUUGUGUGCCAUCGUGUGGGUGUAGCUAUAAUUAUUUAUUUAGCUUAUAAGUCAACAUUGUCAGUCGUUUUCUAAAUGAUCGAUGUCAGUAUUUUUAUCGACCUCUCCUUCCUCAAAAACAAACACGACUAAACACCUCGGUACGUCACUAACCGCUUCCGCGCCCUUCUAACGGUCCCCGGGUCUAAUUCUAAUGUUUCUGUCUAUUUUGCGCCCGCUAACCACUAAACACUAACGCCCCGCCCGCCGCCCCGCCCGCCCGCAGCCACAAGCCGACGCUGCUGUACGACCCGGCCAAGUCGGAGACCUUCAAGAUGCUGCAGGAGGACGGGCUCGGCGACGUCGUGCAGGAGGUGCCCCAGCCUGCCCAGUGCAAGGUCUUCACUGCGCCGCCCAACAAGAGGCCCGCGCCCACUCCGAAACCAGCGAAAAAGCCCGAGCAGAUGAACGGCCACGU